AUUGAACGCUGGCGGCAGGCCUAACACAUGCAAGUCGAGCGAGAGGCGGAAGGGUGAGUAAUGUAUGGGGAUCUGCCUGAUGGAGGGGGAUAACUACUGGAAACGGUUGCUAAUUACGCCUACCUUCAGCUGGGCCGAUAUGGGAUUAGCUUGUAGGUGGGGUAACGGCGCACCUAGGCGACGAUCCGUAGCUGGUCUGAGAGGAUGAUCAGCCACACUGGGACUGAGACACGGCCCAGACUCCUACGGGAGGCAGCAGUGGGGAAUAUUGGAAAAUGGGCGAAAGCCUGAUGCAGCCAUGCCGCGUGUAUGAAGAAGGCCUUCGGGUUGUAAAGUACUUUCAGUCGGGAGGCGUUACCGACAGAAGAAGCACCGGCUAACUCCGUGCCAGCAGCCGCGGUAAUAC
rnacentral:rRNA from 1 species